rnacentral:rRNA from 1 species
GUGCCAGCCGCCGCGGUAAUACGGAGGGUCCGAGCGUUAUCCGGAAUCAUUGGGUUUAAAGGGUCCGUAGGCGGGCCUGUAAGUCAGGGGUGAAAGUUUGUGGCUCAACCAUAAAAUUGCCUUUGAUACUGCAGGUCUUGAGUCAUGGUGGGGUUGCCGGAACAUGUGGUGUAGCGGUGAAAUGCAUAGAUAUCACAUAGAACACCGAUCGCGAAGGCAGGUGACCAACCAUGUACUGACGCUGAUGGACGAAAGCGUGGGUAGCGAACGGGAUUAGAUACCCGGGUAGUCC